AGCAUUACAAUAAGCGGAGGAAAAGAAACCAACAGGGAUUGCCCUAGUAACGGCGAGUGAAGCGGCAACAGCUCAAAUUUGAAAUCUGGCUCUUUUAGAGUCCGAGUUGUAAUUUGCAGAGGGCGCUUUGGCUUUGGCAGCGGUCCAAGUUCCUUGGAACAGGACGUCACAGAGGGUGAGAAUCCCGUACGUGGUCGCUGGCUAUUGCCGUGUAAAGCCCCUUCGACGAGUCGAGUUGUUUGGGAAUGCAGCUCUAAAUGGGAGGUACAUUUCUUCUAAAGCUAAAUAUUGGCCAGAGACCGAUAGCGCACAAGUAGAGUGAUCGAAAGAUGAAAAGCACUUUGGAAAGAGAGUCAAACAGCACGUGAAAUUGUUAAAAGGGAAGCGCUUGCAGCCAGACUUGCUUACAGUUGCUCAUCCGGGCUUUUGCCCGGUGCACUCUUCUGUAGGCAGGCCAGCAUCAGUUUGGGCGGUAGGAUAAAGGUCUCUGUCACGUACCUCCUUUCGGGGAGGCCUUAUAGGGGAGACGACAUACUACCAGCCUGGACUGAGGUCCGCGCAUCUGCUAGGAUGCUGGCGUAAUGGCUGUAAGCGGCCCGUCUUGAAACACGGACCAAGGAGUCUAACAUCUAUGCGAGUGUUUGGGUGUCAAGCCCGAGCGCGUAAUGAAAGUGAACGGAGGUGGGAACCCGCAAGGGUGCACCAUCGACCGAUCCUGAUGUCUUCGGAAGGAUUUGAGUAAGAGCAUGGCUGUUGGGACCCGAAAGAUGGUGAACUAUGCUUGAAUAGGGUGAAGCCAGAGGAAACUCUGGUGGAGGCUCGCAGCGGUUCUGACGUGCAAAUCGAUCGUCAAAUUUGGGCAUAGGGGCGAAAGACUAAUCGAACUAUCUAGUAGCUGGUUCUGCA
rnacentral:rRNA from 1 species